rnacentral:rRNA from 1 species
AUACGGAGGGUGCAAGCGUUAAUCGGAAUUACUGGGCGUAAAGGGCGCGUAGGCGGUUCUGUAAGUCGGGUGUGAAAGCCCCGGGCUCAACCCGGGAACUGCAUUCGAUACUGCAGGACUAGAGUAUGGUAGAGGAAAGCGGAAUCCCCGGUGUAGCGGUGAAAUGCGUAGAUAUCGGGAGGAACACCAGUGGCGAAGGCGGCUUUCUGGACCAAUACUGACGCUGAGGCGCGAAAGCGUGGGGAGCAAACAGGAUUAGAAACCCCAGUAGUCC